GACGAACGCUGGCGGCGUGCUUAACACAUGCAAGUCGAACGGAAAGGCCCUGCUUGCAGGGUACUCGAGUGGCGAACGGGUGAGUAACACGUGGGUGAUCUGCCCUGCACUUCGGGAUAAGCCUGGGAAACUGGGUCUAAUACCGGAUAGGAGCCAUUUUUAGUGUGAUGGUUGGAAAGUUUUUUCGGUGUAGGAUGAGCUCGCGGCCUAUCAGCUUGUUGGUGGGGUAAUGGCCUACCAAGGCGGCGACGGGUAGCCGGCCUGAGAGGGUGGACGGCCACAUUGGGACUGAGAUACGGCCCAGACUCCUACGGGAGGCAGCAGGUGGGAAAAUUGCACAAUGGGCGGAAGCCUGAUGCAGCGACGCCGCGUGGGGGAUGACGGCCUUCGGGUUGGAAACUCCUUUCGCUAGGGACGAAGCUUUUUGUGACGGUACCUAGAUAAGAAGCACCGGCUAACUACGUG
rnacentral:rRNA from 1 species